rnacentral:rRNA from 1 species
AUUGAACGCUGGCGGCAGGCCUAACACAUGCAAGUCGAACGAGGGGCGGACGGGUGAGUAAUGUGUGGGAAACUGCCCGUGGGAGGGGGAUAACUACUGGAAACGGUAGCUAAUACCGCAUACCAUCGGAUGUGCGCAGAUGGGAUUAGCUUGUAGGUGAGGUAACGGCCGACCUAGGCGACGGUCCCUAGCUGGUCUGAGAGGAUGACCAGCCACACUGGAACGGAGACACGGUCCAGACUCCGACGGGAGGCAGCAGUGGGGAAUAUUGCACAAUGGGCGCAAGCCUGAUGCAGCCAUGCCGCGUGUAUGAAGAAGGCCUUCGGGUUGUAAAGUACUUUCAGCGGGGAGGCGUUACCCGCAGAAGAAGCACCGGCUAACUCCGUGCCAGCCGCCGCGGUAAUAC